ACAACAUUUGCAUAGGCACUGUCCUUCAUAAUUUCAUAGUUGCAGACUAUGAUAAUCCUAAAAUGGAUAGCCUGUGGAAGCAAGUCAUAAACCACCUCCUAGGAAUUCCCAUUGUUCACAUGAAGUCUGUUGUCACUAUGUAAACAAAGAGAUUCACCCUCAUUCAUCUUUUUCCCCCUAGGAACAACCCCCAAGAUGCCUCCACAGACAAAAUAAUGGAAGUUAGCUACCUAAUUUUCUGUCUGGGAGCCACUUUAGAGUUGGUGGUGUGCCAUGUGCAUAGAAUAGGAAGAGUAUCUGGCAG